CCUACGGGAGGCAGCAGUGAGGAAUAUUGGUCAAUGGGCGCAAGCCUGAACCAGCCAAGUCGCGUGAGGGAUGACGGCCCUACGGGUUGUAAACCUCUUUUGUCGGGGAGCAAAGCGAACCACGUGUGGUUCAUUGAGAGUACCCGAAGAAAAAGCAGCGGCUAACUCUGUGCCAGCAGCCGCGGUAAUACGGAGGAUGCGAGCGUUAUCCGGAUUUAUUGGGUUUAAAGGGUGCGUAGGCGGAAUACCAAGUCAGCGGUAAAAUCGCGGGGCUCAACCUGGCUCCGCCGUUGAAACUGGCGUUCUUGAGUGGGCGAGAAGUAUGCGGAAUGCGUGGUGUAGCGGUGAAAUGCAUAGAUAUCACGCAGAACUCCGAUUGCGAAGGCAGCAUACCGGCGCCCAACUGACGCUGAAGCACGAAAGCGUGGGUAUCGAACAGGAUUAGAUACCCCAGUAGUC
rnacentral:rRNA from 1 species